UGUGAGGAGCGGCUGGGUUGUCCAGCUGCUCGUUUUCCAGGUCAGGAGACUGGGUCUCUGAUGAGCACGUCAAUAACGUUUCCAGGAAGAUGAUGAUUAAUGAUUAACUGGAGUCUCCAAUGAAGAAUACAGACAUUCUGAGAAUGCAACCUUCAGUAAAGCAAAUCCUACCUGCAAAGCUGGAAAUCUAAACCAGAAGCUAAAUGCCUCUGUGGCACUGCUCUCUACUGCACACCUACUUCCCUGAAAUGCGAGUCUAACAGAAGUACAUCUGAAAAGAAAGCAAAAUAAAGCUAAUGCCCACUUCCUUCAAGUACGGUACCAAGUGAUCACGAUCAGGUAAUGCGACAACACCCCUCAGGAGCCAGGAUGGGAAAUGGACACAGCCCGGCUAUGAACGCGAUUUUAGAUGAAAGAAAAGCACCGAAAGGAAACGCACCCGAACGAAACAUCUCGGCACGUCACUCGGUGCCAGGCAAUGACCUCACGCAAUGGCUGCCGUACCUUCGGUUCCUCGACAGCCCCUCAGAUUCUUUGUGUCUUCCACUCGGUAUUUUAAAGGUAGCGGUGGCUGCGCGCAUCCUCUGAGCCUGGUGUGUCCUUCGGAGACGAGAAGCAGCUUUGUGUCAGGCUGCUGCUCACGUGCGAGGCGAGUGGCAUCAGCUCCUGCAGGCCACGAAGGAAUGAAUCCAUCCGGUCCUGGGUGACACGGGAGGACGGUCCUGAACCAAAUGCCAAAUUGUUGUCGGUACUGCUCUGUGAGACACGUGCUGCAGUCGAGCACCAUUGCCAUGAUACAAAAGGCACGGCAACAGAUGACGUGCUGCUCUUCCUUGGGCAGGUGGUUUAUUUCUCCUCUCUCUGAUGCUGUUUCUGAUUGAAGCCCCCCUUCACUGAGUAGCCCCAUCCGCCCUUGCAGAACUCCAUUGGCGUAGCUGACACUUGAAAAGCAAGCUGGUGCACGCAGGCCCUUUGUAACAGUGCUUGGGCACAGGUCUACUUCAAGCUUUGGAAGAGGCAGUCAGUUUUUACAAUGGGAAACCAGACUUGCAUAAGGAAACAGGGCUGAUGUGUUACUGGAGAAGGCUGGUAUGAAGCUAGUCAGCUCUUGUGCACUGGAGUAAUUAAACUUCAUUCAAAGCUCACAGUGCUUGCUCACAGGCCAUGUAAUGGUGAUGCAGACUCCACAAUAGCAGAUGGGUCAGCCAAAGCUGGUCUCACAGCUGUGUUCAGUGUUGAGAACUGUCCUGGGCUACCCUUAAAAGUGGCUGUCAGGGAGAGGCCAGAACCUGGCAGUGCACCAUCCCUGCUGUACCCCUUCUAACAGCACGAGUGACUUGAGUCACCUUAUAAACAGCAAAUAUAGGGCCGCUCACAGUCCUCUUGUAGCCAUCACAAGUGCUGCUAGUACAAUGUGCCUAAGUAUCAUAAUCCCAAGUAGCCAUUUAAUUAGGGAAACAUCUAGGAUGCAGUGCUUGCCUCCCUAGGAGCAGCUGAGGCAGGGAGCAGGCAGUAGAGGUGAACUAAUCUCUUAACUUCCCCAGCAACUCCAUGCACAUACUGACAAAGAGAAUCCAAGCUUCACAAUGCUCCUCAGGUAAAUGCCUGCAAGGUGGGAAUACAGCAGCUGGAGUGCCUGCAGAAGUAACCAGGACCUGGCUGCUGCUGCUGCUUUGUCUGCAGCCCAGGGCACCCCAGGGGAGCUGAAGCAGGUUAACCUAUGUAUGCUUUGCUUUGCUGUUGCAAUUUUCAAUCAAUAGCAAAAAAUGUACUCCUGUUUGCUGUUCUUCUUGCUGUGACAUCACCCACUGCCAGUGCAGCUGCUCAGCAGGUUUUCACUCCUUGAGUUAUUUAUCCUCUCCAGAAAUAAUGGAGUUGUUUGGAUGUGACAUGCCAUGAGGAUAUUUUUAAGGCAUAACAAACUCUAAUUCCUGUCACUGUUUCAAAGAAGCCAAAAAUGAAAGGUAUUGAUACAUAUUUUUUUUUGUAUGAUGCACUUUUUCGAUCCAAGUCACAAUAUUGGUGACAAUUACAGCACCUCCUGUAGUCUUGUCACACUACAAACAAGGCACUGCCAUGCACAGUUCUGUAUAACGUAAAGCAUUUACUUAUGCUGCUCCUCAGCAGCUGCAUUGCUUUGUGUUCAUUAGAUGAACGUUCAACAUGUAAAAUCGUGUACUCAGACCUAAUCAAACUGUGUGUGCUUCAUGCAUUCGUUUGCCUAAACUAACGAAUGUGUUGCAACAGGAUCUUACUCCUACACCCUAUGGAAAUAAAAGAAACAACAAAAGCAGUAUUAUGAAUUACUUGCGAGUAGCUUAGAAACACUGUUCUUAACAACACAAAAUUCAAAGUAAUGCCCCCUGCACUGGUUUGAACCCAAACCACCCCCCUCCUGGCAGUGCCCAUCUCCCCACAGCUGGGUUUGUUCCAGCUGUCACGCUGCUUCCCACAUUCUGACCUGCUGGAUGGUGCCCAGGCCAUCUCCGCUCCACACAUUUCAUACAGCUUUCAUGCAGCACCUGCAGGCUGUGCAUUCGUCCCAUCAGUGGCUCUUACCCUGUCUUUAACACCUAACAGGAUGGUGCCAACAGGGAUGCAAAUAAAAAACAAAUGAAAAUGAUUGUCACAAAGGCUGCGAGCCUUCUUCCAUCAUCUCCCAAACCAGCCCUUUCACCAGUCAAACAAGGGCCAGAGAGAUAUAACUAACUUCAUAAGCCCCAGUCCCAAUAUACUCACUACAAAGGCAACUAAUACUUAAGGAACCUCAUGUCCUGAGGGCUAAAGGUUGAUAAGUAGAAUCACUCACUGUUCAUAAUAAUGUAUGUGAAAAAUGUACUGUUAAAAAUAUCGGUAAUGAGCAAAACUGAUGGAAAACGAAUGCACUCCAAGUAGCUUCAAAUGUGUUCUUGUCUUAUUUUGAAAUUAAAUAAACGCAAAGCAGCACACAUAAAGGAGCGCUCUUCUGCCUAUAAUUGCUAUAGCUACAGUAGUUGCAAGUAAUGUUGAGGGUUGAAAGAUUAAAGACUCCAGGAGUCUAAUCUAAACAGUAAAUUAUGCCCCAGGGUAUUUUGCUGCAUUUCCCAUCUCUCUCCUGCAGAGUGGGUUAGCUUUGUUUGUCUGAGUGUUCAACAGCAAUGGGGGAAAAAGACAUUUUAAGGUAGGACAAAUAUAAUGGAAUUUGCUGCUCACAAAGCCUUUAAGAUCCCACUUAAUACUGCAGAAUAUUUGUGGGGGAUCUGGGAAGGCAGGCAGAUUGAAAAUAAGGUAUUAAGAUUAAAACAAUAAAAACAACAGAUGGGGACUGGGACAUAAGUCAAGCCUCAUGUAGUAAGUAAAAGGCAACUCAAAGCAAAAUACACUCUUGCCACAUGUUAUGAGGUUACAGUCGUUAAGGAAAGCGAUAUGGUGAGGCGUCAAUCCCUUGGUGACAUUAAGAUAGCAUGUUGCACAUAACUCCUGCCUUCCAUCAACAAAGAUUUCCUUCCUUUUAGGUGGUAGUUCUUCAAAAAGUAUGUUCCAAAACGUUAUUUAUACCACAGAGUCACAAAGCUUGUAUUAUAAUACAAAGUGUGCAUUUGCAUAGAGAGGUACUUCUAGUCCAUAGGCAGAAUAACGCAUAUGAACUGUAGAAGAAAACUCUUGGCCUAAGAAUAUCGAACACUGCUCUCAGAAGCCACAGAUACAAUUUCUGUACUGUGAGUAUAAUGGAACCGUGUUACUGUUAGUAAAAUAUUUAUCUCAGCUGUCAAAAUUAUCAGUUAACUAGAUAAAUGGAAACGUUUCAGUAAUGGAUGUUCUGUGACCAUAUUACAGAGUGAUAAACAUCCUGCAUAUGUGAUUAAUGGGCACAGAUCUAUAAAUGCUAUCCACUUAAGAGAACCUAGAAGAAAGAAAGGUUCUUCUCAUUCAUGCCUACAAACUUGUUUUGCUUUAUAACAUUUAUAAAAGCUCAAAAAGUUGUGAAAAGCAUUCUAGCAUGGCUUACUGGCUCACUGAGGAGAGAUGAAAUAAGAUGACUUCUCUUUCCACAUACAUAUAGUAACCUUGCUGUCAAACUAGUUUAAUUUACUUUAGCAGAGUGUAUGAUGGGGUAGGGAGAUGAGACUCUGAAUUAGGAAAAUACCAGAGAGCAAGGAUCAAGUAGUGCUCUGAAGCCUCCUUUCAUCCAGCCCUGAGGAGUAUGGGAGCUUUUAAUUAGCCUGGUCACAUCUAUCAGUUUGUCUCUGUUGUACUAUCCCAUCCUCAUGCAUCACACCUUGCAUUCAGUCUGACUUUGCCUCAAGGACAGCAAGAGAGAAAACGUGGUAUUUCAGAAGAUGAGUAUAAAACAAAGCUAGAUAAAGCUCCAAGACCCAGUGCAGCUAGUAGCCCCUCAUCCAACACGCAGCCAAAUCACACAAGCUCCAUAUAAGGUUUGUGUGCUCAUUCUAAAAAUGUGCUUGGGCUGUGAUGAGCUGCCUUAGGAAGAUGCUAUCCUUCUCGUCAGGAACUGAAAUACAUCUAGAUCUGUUGUUUCCAGACUUUUUCCUUAUUUGCACCCUUGAAUUUUGCCCCAUGCUCCGGGGAUCCCCAUCUAGAAAUGAUGCUUACUCAGAUGCUGCCUAGUAAAUAGAGACAUGCUUUCCAUAGUCAUCUUCCAUGGCCCCCUCCCUACAAACAGGGCUGCCCCAGAGCCUACCAGGUACAUUAACGCAGAGGCAGCCACUUAGGAGCACAUUCGUGCAUCUCUCCCAGACUUUCUCUGUUAUACUGGAAUCUGAAGAGAGGAACAUUCUCUGACACAAAAGUAGAAGGCCUAAGAGUACCAUUUGAAUUCCAGAAAUUAAAACAUUUCAGCUGAUUUAAAGGAGAAUGACAACCUUUUGGACUAACAUGAAAAGGUGAUUUUUAUACACAUACAAAUAUUUCGUUAUGCUGGAGUUUUCCCAUCUGUGUAAAAUUAACCUUCUUAUCCAAUAGAAUGCGCUUUGUAUCAUGCAAGAGAGCAGAUGUCUAUAAUCUCUUACACACAGAGAAUUUACAUAACAUCAGAAUUAGCAAGAAGUAAGUGGGGAGGGGGAACCCGAAUGGAAACAAGUGAAAGACUGAUGUGGCUGUGUUCCACAAAGCAUGUUCAGCAGCUGCAUCGCUGCUCUGGAACAAAGGGGAAUAUAAUUAUUGUUGUUUUACUUUCAUUUCCCAGCAGCAAAGCAAAAGCUGAAUGAAAGUGGUUAUUUUUGCAGGAGAGAGCUGACUCAAGUGUGCACACGAGGUCCCGCAGGGAAAUCUCUGAGGAGACUAUUUCUUAGCACUGAAUAGCUCACACACCCAGUAAAAAAUGUAUCAGUAAAAUUCACCAGCAACACGUUGUUAUUGCAGAGCUGACUCAAGGGUUCUCAGAUGCCCGGAGGGUAAGACUCAGCCACACCUGCUGGGUUAGGGCAGGACUUGGCUGCUCUCGCUGUCUGCAAGGCGUGAUAAUUGCUUAAGGGGGGGGGGGGUACAUCUACUGCUUUUCACACAGCUGCCCCACACUCAGGCUCCCAGCCUUCCUUAGGAGCAACAGCCCAUCCUUCCAGGGCACUAGCAAAGGUAAAACAGGCACAAAGAAUUCCUGUUUUUGCAGAUGAUCAGCAUCCCCCCUGACUUGCUGUAGUGCCGCCACCAGCAUCUCACUUGUGCCAGGAGGAGAGCUGCCACCCAGGGCGAGGCAGCAGGGAAGGGGCUUCCCUGCAGUAGGAAACGAGCUGAGUGUUCUUCCCAGCAUAUGAGAGCUCCAGGUGGCCCCGGCCUACAAUGACUCUUCCUGACUACCGCCUGAUGGGAAAGUGUCAAUUUCUUGGAGCUCAACCUGAGAGGACUUAAGACAGCUCAAGCUCCCAUUGCUGUCACUGAGACAUCUGGAUAAAAAAAGAGCUCUGUGAGCCUGUCCUUAAAGCUUUAAAUGUAGGUAAUAAAAUCUGGUUUGCUAGCCUCUCUUUUCCUGUGAUCUGGGAUUGCUUAGUUACCUUGAGCCAAGAGCAAGCCACUGCAUGCAAGCAGAGUGCUGUCUUUCAAGGAGGGACCUUCUCCUUGUCAAUAACUGUUCUAAUCUCCUAAUCCUUUUGAUGCAGAAACCCCCCAGGGAGCUGCAGAUCCAGCCUGGAACACCGUGGGAGGCUGAGGCUGCUUCCUGCUCCCAGGAGAGGUGAAGCUUGUAAUGGUCCCUCCCUAUAGCCAGGGGUUUCUGAAUUCAUUUGUGAUGCUGUAUUGAUUUGCAGUAUAGGCAGGUGUUCAACCCAUGUGCUACUUGCCUCAGUUCGCUGCUUCAUCCUUAUGAUGGUAAGAAAGCUAUUCAUGCUGCCUCUUUCAUUUGCAUUUUGGAGGUAGUCCUCUGGCCAAAGAAGUGUCAAACUUGCAACACCGUCUCAUUUGCUUGUAAAAAUCAUUAUCGCUGUGGGUACAGAAAAAUAAUUUGACAAGAAUUAAGUCAAGAAAUGUAAACACCAAAGCAACUGAGGUGCAGGAUGGGCCCCACCGACCUGCAUGUAACAUUAAGAGCUAAAGCCAGUGAGGUCUCACCUUAAAGUGACCAAGCACCAAGGCUGUAAGGUGCAAGAUGCCUGUUGAAGCACUCUGAAACGUACACAAAUGCUAUUUAGUUGCCAGUGCAAGCAUCUUAACUGCUGACCAGUGAGAAUAAGUGAAAGAGCAAGCAGAGGCACUGCGUUAGCAUAGCAAAGGCAAGCUUUGAUUAUUUCACAGUUAUCUGAUAACAGUGCAAAGUACCAUCUGUCAUGUGCCCGAGGUAUGUCAAGGUCUUGUUCAGCUCUCAGUAAUGAAGAAGUUCCUUAUCCUUCCACCAACAGAACAGAACUGCAACAGAUCUAUGUUCACUCUUGGAAGUGUGUCUUAUUACCCACAGCCAUGAAAAACCCAUGAAAGACUAUGCUUUUUGUCAUUAAUAUGAUCUUUAAUAAAUGGAAUAAUGCACCAUUUUACAGCAAGCCUUUUCUUUUAGACCUAAAGAAUAGCCUUUUAAAUGUUCUUAUCCAAUGUCUCUGUAUUAAUACAAUCUCUUUAUUUAGGUUUAUAUAUAACAAAGCAAUUCUUACAAGUAUUCAUAGAAAACUCUGUAGUGGCUUUAACAAUGUCAGCUUUCAUAGUGGCAUCCACAGAUGAUUAAAAAACAAAAAUUAGCUUUUAUUUCAUACUCACACUGUUCCAUGAAACACAACUUAUACAGCAUAGCAAGGGUACUGGGCAGCUUAUACAAAAGAAAUAACUGAAAGCAAUUAUUUAUAAAUUCAUACAUGAUAUUUACUCAAUCAUUUGAGAGAAAAAACAAACAAACAAACAAAAAUACCCGUUAACAAAAGGGUUCUGAUGAGACUCCAUAUUCUAGGGUUUCUCCCCCUCUCCCCCAGAAAAGCUCGCUCAGAAAUCAAUGCUCUCCUUACUAUAGUCUGUCAUAAGGAAUGUGUCAGAUUCACAUAUCCUUAUUUCAGCUUCUACAGAAGACCAAACCCUAGAAAUUGGUUUUUGCUGUGUUCAUUUUCCUCUGCAUUUGGGGGAAAAAUAAUCAACAGCGAUUAUAAAGUAUGAUUCCAGCUUAUAUAAAUGUGAAUAGAGCACACUUUCCUCUAGAGACAAAAAGCAGACAAGAAACAUUACAGACAAACCUUUUUAAAUACAUUUCAACACUGUGAAAGAGAGGAGUCACAAAAAUCAAGAAAUUCAAAAGCGACUAAUGAAAGUCAGCAACAAUAUGGACUUGCCUGUUUCUUUGUGUUCCUUCGACCUAAAGAUUACAGAAACAUCUAUUAUUUUCUUUCCAUGUGAAUGAACAAGAUGGAAGUGUGAUACUUCAUGAUACAGUUCUGAAGCACAAAAGAAAAAAAGUGAAUCAAGUGCUCUAGAAAUAUAAACCUCACGCUUUUUUGCUCUUUUAAAAAGUAGUGAAUGAGUUACAAAAAUUAACUUUGGGGAUAUCUACAAACCAGUAAAUUAUAAAGGCAGUUAUUUUUGCUUUAAAAUAGUUACCAGGCAAGAUCUGUGGUCCUGACAGAUGUAAUCUAUCUGCAGAAGCAGAGCUUUGAAGAAAUCCUUCCUUGCUGUGACAGUGGGGGGUGACAUGCGCACUGUAGUUAACCAACCCAAUGAACUGCAACUUCACACAGUUAGUAGGGCUUUUAAAGCAAUCUGACUACUACACUAUAUAUUAGCAUAACUCCAAUGAGCUCUUGAUGUUAUGCACAUAUGUAAUUAAACUACAGUGAAAUAAAUAGAAUUGCUCAUAAAAAGUAAUUCCAUAUUUCCAUACAUGCUGUAAACAGCCACUAAAUCAGACCUGCAUUAAGCCCGGAUGAACAUCAAAGGACUUUGGUGUGAAUGAGGAUUUAUCUGGAAACCUCGCAACGCCCCUCCCUCUGGUAUAGUCCCAUUUCUCAACAAUAACCAAGCUGAGCUGGUACUGACCCAGUGUGGAGGCCUGAACCAAGUCACCAGCUAGCAGCCCUCAGAAUACCAGCGCCAGCUCUUCUUUGCUCCUAACUAAUGGCAGACACCUCUUUGAUUUCAACAGCACCUGGCUCAAGCACCAGCUUGUUUGAGACAUCCAUGUUUGUGAUACGUUGACUUCCCCAGUUAAGUUUGUGCCUAACUGGACUCCCAUUUUGAUUCAGAGCGCCUCAAUCUCUUCUGCAGAUGAGGAAGUUCCAAGACCAGUUUCAGUCAGCACAAAAUAAACCUCAAAAUGAGAAAUCUGAUUUCUUACUAUUUCACAUCUAAACUGAACAUAAUUAGGGGAAAAGAAUAAAUAAGAAAAAUAAAACAGUUGUAUGUCUACAGCUUGAGUUUUUCUAUGACAACCCAGAAGCCUAAAAUGCAAUUGGAUUAAAUGGCUUAAACCUUGCCCCCAUAUUCAAAGGGUUACUACACACUUAACCUCAGCAGCUACUGCAUAAAAAAAGCCUUGUAAAAAUUAUAAUGGAUUAAAAAUGUUGAGGGUUUUCGUAUUGUUUUUGUUUUUUGUUUUCCAACUUGAAAGGAGGAACCUUAAAUCAGUGACAAAGUGACAAGUACGUCAUGGGGGAUCGCACACUUCUGGGUUAUGUCACAGGCUGAGCCCAAUUUUAUUAUAAAGAUGAUUUAAGAAUUGUAUCUAAAAAAGAAUGCUAUACUUGCUACCAGUGCUACCAUCUGAUGCUGUAACUCGCAGAACUUAAUCCUGAAAUUUCUGCAUGACAUACAUAUGCAUCCCAAUACAUACAGAGUUUACAUAAAAAUAUAUAUAUUUGGCUCCACUGCAAUAGAUUUUUCUUUGAAGAAAGGAAUAAAUUUGAACAAAAAUUAAGAGAGUACAUUAAAAAAAACAAAAGUGAGGUUAAAUAUACUGACCUGGCAAAAUGCAUAGUGGGAGACCAGAGAGAAAAGUUCAAAUAAUGCAAUUUAUGCAAAAUACAAAGUCAUCCACUCUAUAACCCAACUUUCAUAGACUAAUCAAACCUACUUCAAUCUUCUUUAGUAAGCUGCUCCAAAUUUCAUAUACAUUAGGUCAUGCACAUACUACCAUACUAGAUAAUUAUUAUUUUUAUGACUUAAGAAAACCCUCAUUUUCAGCAUUGAGAACUUCAUCAUUUUCAUGUAAGUAAAAACUACAGUAUGAUGCAAUUUUCCCCAUAUUAACUGCAAUGUGAAUUUAAAAAAAAAUAUCCUUAAUUAGGCCGUAACUUUCCAUUAUUGUGUUUCAGUGUUAGAAUGGCUAUGAUCUUUUGAAUAUAUUUUUAAUGAAAGAAAAAUAUCACCUGAACAUUGACUCAGUAAUAUUAUAUUAGUGGACUUCUGUUGCUGUUUUAAACACCUACGAAUUCUUCAGGGGUAUCAUAAAAGCAACGUAUAGGGUGAUUGAACACUGAAAUUAUGGCAUAUACUCAUACAUUGUAUACGAUCGUUUUCUACAUAGCAAUUCAUUACUGCUAAAUUUUGCCCAGUAAUCCACUCCAUACAAAUACAGAACAUCCUUAUUUUCAUUUCUGAGGCAAGCAGAAUUAAUGAAUUAUUUUUAAGAAAGUUGACAGAUGGGAAAAUACACACUUUAUAAGCAGAUUUAUAAGGCUUUUUGUUUGCUUUUUCCAGAAACCUGACAGCAUCCAUCUUGCAUUGCCUUUUGUACCCUGUACUGAAAAAAAAUAGUCUAUCUUGACUGCCUAUGGAAAUGAGAUUGUUUUCUAAAUGGAAACAAGACUGGCAUGAAUUGUGGUAAGAAAGCACAAUAUAGAAAAAAUAUUCUUUGUUUCAGAGAACAUUCUAAAGAUGAUGAUAUUAACUGGUCUUCUUUUAAAUUAGGAAUUUCUUUAUCUUUCAGCUGUGUAAGUUAAGUGCAUCUCAGAGUUACAAGAAGGACAUGAUAACUUCAGCACAUGAAACUAUCAAGCUUCAUAAGCAAAGUCAGGGUAAUAUUUCAGAUAACCUUACUUGCAAAUUUCCAAUUUAGUAGAGCCUACAGUUGACAAUACUUGCAUGUCUGUUCAAAUGGUUAGAAUUCACAUUCUAAAAACCAUGUAAUGUUGGUGAGGAAACAUAGGAAACAGAAAGAGACAUUGCGUUAACCUAACUAACUCAUUUAAUUUCUACUAGCAUGUCAUUUUU